GCUGGUUGAAAUGGUGUAUACCUGUAAUCCCAGCCACUCAGGAGGCUGAGGCAGGAGGAUCACAAGUUUGAGGCCAACUUGAGCAUUUUAGUGAGACCCUGUCUCAA
rnacentral:sRNA from 1 species